rnacentral:rRNA from 1 species
AUACGGAGGAUGCGAGCGUUAUCCGGAUUUAUUGGGUUUAAAGGGUGCGUAGGCUGUGCGUUAAGUCAGGGGUGAAAUGCCGUCGCUCAACGACGGAGCUGCCCUUGAUACUGGCGUGCUGGAGUACGGAUGCCGUUGGAGGAAUGAGUGGUGUAGCGGUGAAAUGCUUAGAUAUCACUCAGAACACCGAUUGCGAAGGCAUCUGACGAAUCCGUCACUGACGCUGAGGCACGAAAGCGUGGGGAUAGAACAGGAUUAGAUACCCUGGUAAUCCACGCCGUAAACGAUGAUGACUAACCGUCGGCGAUAGACAGCCGGUGGCCAAGCGAAAGCGAUAAGUCAUCCACCUGGGGAGUACGUCGGCAACGAUGAAACUCAAAGGAAUUGGCGGGG